UACGUAGGGUGCAAGCGUUGUCCGGAAUUAUCGGGCGUAAAGAGCGUGUAGGCGGCCCGAUUAGUCCGCUGUGAAAGUCCAGGGCUCAACCCUGGAAUGCCGGUGGAUACUGUCGGGCUAGAGUCCGGAAGGGGCGAGUGGAAUUCCUGGUGUAGCGGUGAAAUGCGCAGAUAUCAGGAGGAACACCAAUGGCGAAGGCAGCUCGCUGGGACGUGACUGACGCUGAGACGCGAAAGCGUGGGGAGCAAACAGG
rnacentral:rRNA from 1 species